rnacentral:rRNA from 1 species
GACGAACGCUGGCGGCGUGCUUAACACAUGCCAGUCGAACGACGAGCGAUGGAAGCUUGCUUCUAUCAAUCUUAGUGGCGAACGGGUGAGUAACGCGUAAUCAACCUGCCCUUCAGAGGGGGACAACAGUUGGAAACGACUGCUAAUACCGCAUACGAUCUAAUCUCGGCAUCGAGGAUAGAUGAAAGGUGGCCUCUACAUGUAAGCUAUCACUGAAGGAGGGGAUUGCGUCUGAUUAGCUAGUUGGAGGGGUAACGGCCCACCAAGGCGAUGAUCAGUAGCCGGUCUGAGAGGAUGAACGGCCACAUUGGGACUGAGACACGGCCCAGACUCCUACGGGAGGCAGCAGUGGGGAAUCUUCCGCAAUGGACGAAAGUCUGACGGAGCAACGCCGCGUGAGUGAUGACGGCCUUCGGGUUGUAAAGCUCUGUUAAUCGGGACGAAAGGCCUUCUUGCGAAUAGUGAGAAGGAUUGACGGUACCGGAAUAGAAAGCCACGGCUAACUACGUG